CGGAGAAUUGAGGGGGGCUGCUCCUAGUACGAGAGGACCGGAGUGGACGCAUCACUGGUGUUCGGGUUGUCAUGCCAAUGGCAUUGCCCGGUAGCUAAAUGCGGAAGAGAUAAGUGCUGAAAGCAUCUAAGCACGAAACUUGCCCCGAGAUGAGUUCUCCCUGACUCCUUGAGAGUCCUGAAGGAACGUUGAAGACGACGACGUUGAUAGGCCGGGUGUGUAAGCGCAGCGAUGCGUUGAGCUAACCGGUACUAAUGAACCGUGAGGCUUAACCUUACAACGCCGAAG
rnacentral:rRNA from 1 species